ACUAGAGUCUGACUGUAAAUAGAAGCAUGCUUCUUUGUAUAAUUAAUGGGACUUCCUCACCCUUUCCCUUCACACCCAAUAUUAAAACUGAAAGGCACUGUACAGCUUGACGAAGAUUGAUAAGAAUCUACACUGUCAACUGAACUGCUGCUUGAAUCUCUGCCUUUGGAUGAGCAGUCUAGCAAAAGAGGGACGUGACUGAAGGCAUUUCUGGCUGAUCUACGCUGAGAGAUCUGAGGAAAGGAUAGGCUGUGCACAGAUUGUGACUGGAUGGUGGAAUGGCGUGAAGUUAACCUUGGUGAUUUAACAAAAAAACUGAAAAAGACUUCCAUGCCAAGUCUUUGUUCCGACGACCUAUGGAGGAGGGAUGUUGAAGGUGGAAUUCUUUACGGCCACGAUGAAUGCAGUCCCCUGCCCACCCAGGAGGAGGUGGAUUUCUUCCGAUCUGGCAGUGGGUGUUUACUGGGGAUCUGCCAUUUAUAAGUACGUAGCUCUGUGCAUUAAAUAUUAGACAUAGCUCACAGCUUCAGACGAAAUGGGCUGCCUUGCCAGUUUGAACCUAAUUAGGCACCAUGCCACCGAUUCACAUCUACCAGUUACUCCCUAAACCUCUAUAGAACUGGAGCUGUAUCAUGUAAAAUAAAUCCAUCUUCCAAACAGGGAAUUAUUUUAAAAUUCCAUUUGCCAAACAUAAUAAAAUUUUAUGGGACUAAUGUGUAAAGCAGACAACUGGAACUAUUCCAGAGUAGUUGUUCAUAAUACUCUUCAACAACUUAAUGUUGCUGCUCCCUUCCCUCCCUUUGUCUCCAUCUCCACCCGAUCAACAUUUUAUUGUGAUUCAAGCCAGGAGGGCUAAUAAUUUAGUUUUG